rnacentral:rRNA from 1 species
ACCAGACUCCUACGGGAGGCAGCAGUGAGGAAUAUUGGUCAAUGGUCGGGAGACUGAACCAGCCAAGCCGCGUGAGGGAGGAAGGUACAGAGUAUCGUAAACCUCUUUUGUCAGGGAACAAAGGCGGGGACGUGUCCCCGGAUGAGUGUACCUGAAGAAAAAGCAUCGGCUAACUCCGUGCCAGCAGCCGCGGUAAUACGGAGGAUGCGAGCGUUAUCCGGAUUUAUUGGGUUUAAGGGGUGCGCAGGCGGGCUGUUAGUGCGGCGGUAAAGCCCCGGGCCCCACCCCCGCCCUGCCGUUGAAACUGGCAGUCUCGAGUUGGAGAGAAGUAUGCGGAAUGCGCGGUGUAGCGGUGAAAUGCAUAGAUAUCGCGCAGAACUCCGAUUGCGAAGGCAGCAUGCCGGCUCCACACUGACGCUGAGGCACGAAAGCGUGGGUAUCGAACAGGAUUAGAUACCCUAGUAUAC